rnacentral:misc_RNA from 1 species
AAGCUAAUAUUCAUAUAAAAAUCACGUAUUACUAGAUAAAAUGGUCAUGAAUGCUCUGUUUUGAAAUUCCUUGUUUAUCCAGGGGAAAAAGAAAAAAAAAGAAGAAAAUGUGAUGUCCUAAAAAACUGAGUGUCUGUAUUCUCAUUUAAAAUACUCACCACCUCUUCAAAUACCAACGUAUUCUAUUCCAUGGACACUAUAUGACUCAGACAACUAGUAGCUCAAUAAAAAAUAAAGUUUAAAA